UACAGAGGUCUCAAGCGUUGUUCGGAUUCAUUGGGCGUAAAGGGUACGUAGGUGGCGGGGCAAGUCAGGUGUGAAAUCUCGGGGCUCAACCCCGAAACUGCACUUGAUACUGCCUUGCUCGAGUACUGGAGAGGAGACUGGAAUUUACGGUGUAGCAGUGAAAUGCGUAGAUAUCGUAAGGAAGACCAGUGGCGAAGGCGAGUCUCUGGACAGUUACUGACACUGAGGCACGAAGGCCAGGGGAGCAAACGGG
rnacentral:rRNA from 1 species